AUACCGCGUGUGUGAAGAAGGCCUUCGGGUUGUAAAGCACUUUAAGCAGGGAGAAAAAGUUAUAAGUUAAUACCUUAUAACCCUGAUGUUACCUGCAGAAUAAGCACCGGCUAAUUCCGUGCCAGCAGCCGCGGUAAUACGGAAGGUGCAAGCGUUAAUCGGAAUUACUGGGCGUAAAGCGCGCGUAGGUGGUUUGUUAAGUUGGAUGUGAAAGCCCUGGGCUCAACCUAGGAACUGCAUCCAAAACUAACUCACUAGAGUACGAUAGAGGGAGGUAGAAUUCAUAGUGUAGCGGUGGAAUGCGUAGAUAUUAUGAAGAAUACCAGUGGCGAAGGCGGCCUCCUGGAUCUGUACUGACACUGAGGUGCGAAAGCGUGGGUAGCGAACAGGAUUAGAUACCCUGGUAGUCCACGCCGUAAACGAUGACAACUAGCUGUUGRGAGACUAUGUCUUUCAGUGGCGCAGCUAACGCUUUAAGUUGUCCGCCUGGGGAGUACGGCCGCAAGGCUAAAACUCAAAUGAAUUGACGGGGACCCGCACAAGCGGUGGAGCAUGUGGUUUAAUUCGAUGCAACGCGAAAAACCUUACCUACUCUUGACAUACUUGGAGGCUCUUGUAAUGAGAGUGUGCCUUUUGGAACCAAGAUACAGGUGCUGCAUGGCUGUCGUCAGCUCGUGUCGUGAGAUGUUCCGUUAAGUCGGAUAGCGAGCGCAACCCUUACCCUUAUUUGCCAGCGAUUCGGUCGGGAACUAUAAGGGGACUGCCGGUGAUAAACCGGAGGAAGGUGAGGACGACGUCAAGUCAUCAUGGCCCUUACGAGUAGGGCUACACACGUGCUACAAUGGGAGAUACAGACGGACGCUAAGCCGCGAGGUGGUGCUAAUCCUAAAAAGUCUUUCGUAGUCCGGAUUGGAGUCUGCA
rnacentral:rRNA from 1 species